AGGGAGUCAAAACCCUAACAUCACAAAUCUCUCAAAUUAAAAGGGGAAAAUUGAAGGUUUAUCAAUGCAUGAGUUAGAAAUGUUCAUCCCUAAGUGAAAUUAACAUCAAGCACAAAGAAGGAAGAAGGCGCAAGUCACUCGAAGGCACAAGCAUCUCAAGAUCGCGGUAAAUCACAUGACUAAUUGCGGCGCGCUCGGACCGAACAUACACACACAACGUUGACCUUUAUACGCUUCCGG